UGGGGAAUAUUGGACAAUGGGCGAAAGCCUGAUCCAGCCAUGCCGCGUGUGUGAAGAAGGCCUUUUGGUUGUAAAGCACUUUAAGUGGGGAGGAAAAGCUUAUGGUUAAUACCCAUAAGCCCUGACGUUACCCACAGAAUAAGCACCGGCUAACUCUGUGCCAGCAGCCGCGAUAAUACAGAGGGUGCAAGCGUUAAUCGGAAUUACUGGGCGUAAAGCGCGCGUAGGUGGUUAUUUAAGUCAGAUGUGAAAGCCCCGGGCUUAACCUGGGAACUGCAUCUGAUACUGGAUAACUAGAGUAGGUGAGAGGGGAGUAGAAUUCCAGGUGUAGCGGUGAAAUGCGUAGAGAUCUGGAGGAAUACCGAUGGCGAAGGCAGCUCCCUGGCAUCAUACUGACACUGAGGUGCGAAAGCGUGGGUAGCAAACAGGAUUAGAUACCCUGGUAGUCCACGCCGUAAACGAUGUCUACCAGUCGUUGGGUCUUUUAAAGACUUAGUGACGCAGUUAACGCAAUAAGUAGACCGCCUGGGGAGUACGGCCGCAAGGUUA
rnacentral:rRNA from 1 species